rnacentral:rRNA from 1 species
UGCGUAGGUGGUUUCUUAAGUCAGAGGUGAAAGGCUAGGGCUCAACCGUAGUAAGCCUUUGAAACUGGGAAACUUGAGUGCAGGAGAGGAGAGUGGAAUUCCUAGUGUAGCGGUGAAAUGCGUAGAUAUUAGGAGGAACACCAGUUGCGAAGGCGGCUCUCUGGACUGUAACUGACACUGAGGCACGAAAGCGUGGGGAGCAAACA